rnacentral:rRNA from 1 species
UACUCCCGCUGGCGGCGUGCUUAACACAUGCAAGUCGAACGGAAAGGCCCUGCUUUUGUGGGGUGCUCGAGUGGCGAACGGGUGAGUAACACGUGAGUAACCUGCCCUUGACUUUGGGAUAACUUCAGGAAACUGGGGCUAAUACCGGAUAGGAGCUCCUGCUGCAUGGUGGGGGUUGGAAAGUUUCGGCGGUUGGGGAUGGACUCGCGGCUUAUCAGCUUGUUGGUGGGGUAGUGGCUUACCAAGGCUUUGACGGGUAGCCGGCCUGAGAGGGUGACCGGCCACAUUGGGACUGAGAUACGGCCCAGACUCCUACGGGGGGCAGCAGUGGGGAAUAUUGCACAAUGGGCGGAAGCCUGAUGCAGCAACGCCGCGUGCGGGAUGACGGCCUUCGGGUUGUAAACCGCUUUCGCCUGUGACGAAGCGUGAGUGACGGUAAUGGGUAAAGAAGCACCGGCUAACUACGUG